UUCAUGGGAACAGUCCGCUGCCUGGCUCCUCUGUGACCCACUCUGGGUGUGACGACCCAGGCUGGCCCCGUGGACAAACAACAAGCGUCCUUGAAGAGCCGUUUCUGCAGCUUGUUACAAUUCAUGUGCUAUAGUGAUGUGAUCAAAUAUACGCUUAUACCUAAUUCAUAAAUAGGAGCAAAGCCGUCAGCAUCGCACCCUCAGGUGCAUCUACAGAACGGGGAGGCUUCCCUCCUGCGUCUAGCCUACUGUGAAGCUGGAUUUUGUCGGGUACUCCUGUGUCCACUGAGAUCAUCAGGCAAUUUUUCCAGUUUAUU